GUGCCAGCCGCCGCGGUAAUACGGAGGGGGCUAGCGUUGUUCGGAAUUACUGGGCGUAAAGGGCGCGUAGGCGGGCGCUUAAGUCGGGGGUGAAAUCCCGGGGCUCAACCCCGGAACUGCCUCCGAUACUGGGUGCCUUGAGGACGGGAGAGGUGAGUGGAAUUCCGAGUGUAGAGGUGAAAUUCGUAGAUAUUCGGAGGAACACCAGUGGCGAAGGCGGCUCACUGGCCCGAUCCUGACGCUGAGGCGCGAAAGCGUGGGGAGCAAACAGGAUUAGAUACCCUGGUAGUCCACGCCCUAAACGAUGAGUGCCAGUUGUUGGCGGGCAUGCCCGUCAGUGACGCAGCUAACGCUUUGAGCACUCCGCCUGGGGAGUACGGCCGCAAGGUUAAAACUCAAAUGAGUUGACGGGG
rnacentral:rRNA from 1 species